rnacentral:lncRNA from 1 species
ACACCCCAAGUCUGGAAUUGAGGCUCGAGUCUGAGUUUUGCCUUUUCCACUUUUUAGCUAUAGAACUUUGAACAGAUCACAAAUUUUCUGAGACAGUUUCCUUCUUUGUAAACUGCGGAUAAUAACAUGCAGAAACACUAGGUAACUGAUGUUCUAUAAAGCGUUAAGUGACGUUACCACAUGUAGAGUCUGGAACACAGAAGACAAGUCCAAAGAGCCUGACGAAGGAAUCCACGACUUUUCCAUUGAAAUUAUAAGAAUGAUCUUUCAAGUGGAAAUUGUACCGGGAACUAAGGUUCUGGCCAAAAGUUUUGAGAUGGACUCACAGGAAAAGCUUACGGAGAUGUUCUGGCAGGGCGGAAACCCACACGGAGCGGACUCUUCUUCCAGGUGCAGAUGUACAGGACCUUGGAGGGAGUGUCCGAAGACCUGAGUUUGACCUGCAUUCUGCUUUUACUCACAAUAUAGCCUUGACCAAAUCAUACAAUCUCUUCAAGCCUUGGUUUCCUCAUUUAUAAAAUGGGGGUUCCAAUAGCUGCCUUACCCAAAGAAAAAGAUGUGUUAAUUGUAAGGCAUCAAAUGAAUUUUUGUUAGGAAGCAAUGCUUUCUAAUUUAGGAAUGAGGAAAUCUCAGAUCAUUCAGUUAAAUCCAUGGGAGAGCUGGAUAAAUUAGAGACUAGCUAAUGCCAAGUCUUGUGCCUUAGUUCCUUUUCCUUCCUUCUUUUUGAUUCUGUAACUGACACUUCGGCUUCUGUAUACUAUGGCUUCCACGCUAAGGAUGAAAAUAUUGAGGGGCGCCUGGGUGGCUCAGUUGGUUAAGCGUCCAGCUUUGGCUCAGGUCAUGAUCUCACGGUUUGUGGGUUCGAGCCCCGCAUCAGGCUCUGUGCUGACAGCUAGCUCAGAGCUCAGAGCCCGGAGCCUGCUUUGGAUUCUGUGUCUCCCCUCUCUCUCUGACCCUCCCCUGCUCAUGCUAUCCCUCUCUCUGUCUCUCAAAAAUAAAUAAAAAACAUUUAAAAAAAUUUUUAAAGAAAAUAUUGAUAUU